rnacentral:rRNA from 1 species
GGGAAACUGCCCGAUGGAGGGGGAUAACUACUGGAAACGGUAGCUAAUACCGCAUAACGUCGCAAGACCAAAGUGGGGGACCUUCGGGCCUCACACCAUCGGAUGUGCCCAGAUGGGAUUAGCUAGUAGGUGGGGUAAUGGCUCACCUAGGCGACGAUCCCUAGCUGGUCUGAGAGGAUGACCAGCCAUACUGGAACUGAGACACGGUCCAGACUCCUACGGGAGGCAGCAGUGGGGAAUAUUGCACAAUGGGCGCAAGCCUGAUGCAGCCAUGCCGCGUGUAUGAAGAAGGCCUUCGGGUUGUAAAGUACUUUCAGCGGGGAGGAAGGCGGUGAAGUUAAUAGCUUCACCGAUUGACGUUACCCGCAGAAGAAGCACCGGCUAACUCCGUGCCAGCAGCCGCGGUAAUACGGAGGGUGCAAGCGUUAAUCGGAAUUACUGGGCGUAAAGCGCACGCAGGCGGUCUGUCAAGUCGGAUGUGAAAUCCCCGGGCUUAACCUGGGAACUGCAUUCGAAACUGGCAGGCUAGAGUCUUGUAGAGGGGGGUAGAAUUCCAGGU